rnacentral:rRNA from 1 species
AGAGUUUGAUCCUGGCUCAGGACGAACGCUGGCGGCGUGCCUAACACAUGCAAGUCGAACGGAGAUAUUAGAUGAAGCUUGCGAUUCUAGUAUUUUAGUGGCGGACGGGUGAGUAACGCGUGGGUAACCUGCCCAUAAGUGGGGAAUAACAGUUGGAAACGACUGCUAAUACCGCAUAAUCUGAGCGAUCAGAAAAGGUGGCCUCUUAACAAUGCUACUGCUUAUGGAUGGGCCCGCGUCUGAUUAGCUGGUUGGUGGGGUAAAGGCCUACCAAGGCGACGAUCAGUAGCCGGCCUGAGAGGGUGGACGGCCACACUGGGACUGAGACACGGCCCAGACUCCUACGGGAGGCAGCAGUGGGGAAUAUUGCGCAAUGGGGGAAACCCUGACGCAGCGACGCCGCGUGAGCGAAGAAGGCCUUAGGGUUGUAAAGCUCUGUUUUAAGGGACGAAUGUUACAGGGAGUAAUAUGUCCUGUAAAUGACGGUACCUUAAGAGGAAGCCCCGGCUAACUACGUGCCAGCAGCCGCGGUAAGACGUAGGGGGCGAGCGUUGUCCGGAAUUACUGGGCGUAAAGAGCACGUAGGCGGGUGAAUAAGUCAGAUGUGAAAGACCGUGGCCCAACCACGGGGUUGCAUCUGAAACUGAACAUCUUGAGGGCAGGAGAGGGCAGUGGAAUUCCUGGUGUAGCGGUGAAAUGCGUAGAAAUCAGGAGGAACACCAGUGGCGAAGGCGGCUGUCUGGACUGACCCUGACGCUGAGGUGCGAAAGCGUGGGUAGCAAACAGGAUUAGAUACCCUGGUAGUCCACGCUGUAAACGAUGGAUACUAGGUGUAGGAGGUAUCGACCCCUUCUGUGCCGCAGCUAACGCAAUAAGUAUCCCGCCUGGGGAGUACGAUCGCAAGGUUGAAACUCAAAGGAAUUGACGGGGGCCCGC